GAGGGCGCGUCAGAGAAGAGCUUAAUCGUGAAGAUUCGUCGGUGCGAUAAGUGAACAACUAAGACGUUCCUUCAAUAGGUGUGUGCAGCAUCCAGGAAAAGGCAGUAACGGAGGAACUUCAAGUUGCCACGGCUUACGACUUGACGUGGCGCAGUAACGUUGGUAAAACGGCUGUGGCAACCUGUCUAAUCUCCAAGAAUAAACACCAUCCUUAACUUGCAUAAUCCCGC